CGACGGGAGUCCUGGCUGUGCAAACUCAAUGUCUGUGUUGCCGCUUCGCCCAAGCUUCCAGCUGAAGAACUGGUG
rnacentral:miRNA from 1 species